rnacentral:rRNA from 1 species
GUGCACGCUGGCGGUAGGCCUAACCCCUGCAAGUCGCACGGCAGCACAGUAGGAGCUUGCUCUUACGGGUGGCGAGUGGCGGACGGGUGAGGAAUACAUCGGAAUCUACUUUUUCGUGGGGGAUAAUGUAGGGAAACUUACGCUAAUACCGCAUACGACCUACGGGUGAAAGCAGGGGAUCUUCGGACCUUGCGCGAUUGAAUGAGCCGAUGUCGGAUUAGCUAGUUGGCGGGGUAAAGGCCCACCAAGGCGACGAUCCGUAGCUGGUCUGAGAGGAUGAUCAGCCACACUGGAACUGAGACACGGUCCAGACUCCUACGGGAGGCAGCAGUGGGGAAUAUUGGACAAUGGGCGCAAGCCUGAUCCAGCCAUACCGCGUGGGUGAAGAAGGCCUUCGGGUUGUAAAGCCCUUUUGUUGGGAAAGAAAAGCAGCAGGUUAAUACCCCGCUGUUCUGACGGUACCCAAAGAAUAAGCACCGGCUAACUUCGUG